GUCAUUUUGUACAAUUUUUACUGUUUGAGUUGGUGGAGCCACUCGUGGCUCAGGUUGUGUGUUGGGGGGGAAAUUGCUGAGUGAGGAUUAAUUUGUUUGGUGCAAGCCUUGCAAGGGGGGUUGGGCAAUGCGAGCUUUCCUAAAGAGCUCGGAGGGGUGUUUCCAGCUGAAAUCCUACACCACGACCAUCGGGAGCCACAGAGGGGCCGACAUCGUCCUGCAGUCUGCAGGGGUAGCAGAGCGCCAUGCAGCCCUGGAAUUCUCCACCUCAGACAACAGCUUCAUCCUUCAGGACUUCAACUCCCCCCACGGCACCUUUGUCAACAGCUGCCAGGUGCAGAACGCGGCCGUCAGGGUGAGGCCUGGGGACAUCCUGAGCUUCGGCACCGCGGGAGCCUCCUUCGAGCUGGUGCUGGAUGGGGCUGCCCAGAUGUCCUGUCCCCCCUUGAAACAUCGCGUGGGGUGGAGUGGGCAGCUCCAGGCUGUUGCAGAGCCCAAACUCCUGACUCCUGCAUCUCCUCUGUGCCUGCCCUCACUGCAGGGGCAGCUUCCCCCCAACUCCCUGGGCAGAGGGGCCCCCAGAGCCCCUGGCCAUGUGCCCCAUCUGGUGCUGCCAAGGCGACCUGCGAGUGCCAGGGACAGGAGCGCAGCCAGUGCCACCUCUCUGGACACAUCCAGCAGGACCUCUGCCCUGAGGCCAGUCUCAGCCAGCUUCUCAGGGGGUGGUGCCAGCAGUGUGGGGAGAGCCCCUUCCCUGGGGCCUCACAAGGUGGAUCUCCUCCUGCAGGGGAAGCAGGGUGAGAAGCUGCUGGAGAAGGAAGUGGGCCACCUUUUUGGUUUGCAAACAGAGUUAAAGGGGAAGGAUGUGGUGGUGAGAGACCUACAGGAGGAGAUCGCAGCCAUGGCAAAGAAACUGGCCCAGGCAGCCAUGAGGAACGAGGCUGAGCUGACCCAGAAGCUGCUCACCUUCAACCAAGAGCUGGGAGCCCAAACAGAGGAGGUCAAAGCCCUGAGGGAACAGAUCAAUGACCUGCAGAAAGGCUCAAACCAAGUUUUCAGCCAUUCCCUCCACGAGAGAGACCUGGAGAUCGGGAGGCUGCGGAGGGAAAGUGAGAAGUUGAAGAAGGACCAGGCUUUGACUGCAGGUCUGCUGAGCAACAUGCAAAGAGAACUCCUGCAAAAGGAGCAGAAAAUCCAGCAGCUCCAGCAAGAGACUGAAAAACUGAGUAAGGAAAACCGAGAGAAGGACAAGCAGCUGGCUGUGGUUUCAGCCAAGUGCUCGAGAAUUAAAGAAGAAACAAAGCACGAACUCAGAGAGCAAGAACUAAUCUCUUGCAGAAAUCACAUCGAGGAGCUGCAGCGGGACCUGCAGGGGCUGCAGGGGGAGAUCCAGAAGCAUGAGAGUGUCCAGAAGCAACUGGCUGAGAAAGCCAAGGCAGAGGAGGAGCUGAAGGCAGCGUGGUCACAGCAGGAACGGCAGCUGCGGGAGAUGGAGCGCAGGGAGCGCCUGCUGCAGUCUAACAUGCAGAGAGCUGGGGAGCAGCUGGAGUCCUUCAAGACCCGAGUGAUGCAAGCCUGUUCUCCAUCAGCAGCUGGCAGCACAGGGAAAGCUGUAGCAGAGCAGCAGGUGAUAGAGAAGGUCAGGCAGAUCUCUGAUGAGAACCAACAAAGUCAUGAGAGAGAGAAGAGCCUGCAGAAGGAAUUAAGCUCCAGGCUCGCAAAGGAGAGGGAGGUGUCUGCAAACAUCGAGGUGUUCAAGAACUCCUUGCAGAAGCUCCAGGCGUGCCUGAGGAGCCCCUGCAGCAGUGCCAGCCUGCGGGGGGAGCUGGGGCAGCUGGAGCUGCUGUGCCUGGAUCCCUCUGUCUCAGCCAUCAGGACAGCAGUGGUGGACAUGGCACGUGGUCCCCUGUCCUGGCUGGAGGGUGCAGAGCAGCUCCUGGACAGCGUGGGGAUGGACCUGCACACCUCUGGCAAAGGGCUGUUGGCUGCUCUCGGGAGCUUGUUGGAAAAGAGCCAGGAGAUGGCACAGAGGAAUCAGAUGUUGCAGGAGCAAUUAGAGAAGCUCCGGGAGCUGCAGGCAGAGCUGCUGCAGGAGCACACAAGGGAGCUGGAAGCAAAGCAUGAGCAAGACUUACAGAUAAAAAUCCAGCAAAUUGUCCUGGAAAAGGACAAGGAGAGCAAACAGAUUCUGGAAAGCGCUGUCACUGAGGAGAAGGACAAGUGCAAGAAAUCUGUGGAGGAAGAACAGAGGAAGAUCCAAGAGUUAGAAAGCCACCUUAGAAGCAUGGCUGAGGAAACAGCAAAGAGGGCAGAGGAGCAGGAAUUGACAGAGGGAAAGCUGAGAGAAGCUUUGCACGAGUUGAAGCAAAUCACUGCACAAGAGGCUGUGUUACAGCAGCAGGUGCUCCAGCAGAGCCAACAGCUCAGGGCUGUGCAGGAGGAAAAUGAGCUGCAGAGGCAGAAACUGCAAGAAGAGGUGGCAGGAUAUAGGGAGCAAAGCAGGCAGCAUUCCCUGACCAUCCUGGCUUUAGAGGACAGGCUGCUCGAGGCCACUCAGCAGCAGAAGGUGCUGGAGGAGGAAAAGGCAGCACUUGUGGAAAAGAUGGAAGGACUUCAGUGUGAUGCCCACAGCUCAGCAUUGGGAGCUUGGCUGGAGAUUUGUCCUGCCAUGGAGUCUCAUGCUUGUCUGAGGAAACUGCGGGAGGAGCUGGCAGUGGUGCAGGGCAUGCUCCUGGAAAAGAAGGCAGUCAUCAGCAGGCUCAGCAGAGAGCUGUCAGAAACCAGAGCCAGGAUGUCGGACAUGAGAGGGGAGCUGAGUGAAGAGCAGAAGGUGGAGCUGGAGCACAGCCAGAGGCAGCUGAAACACCGGGAGUGGGAAGUGAACCAGCUCCGGGAGAAGCUCUCUGAGAUGUCCAGCCUUGUGGAGGAGAAGGAUCAGGCCCUGAGAGCAGCAGCUGAUGAAUUAAGCCAAGCCCAAAGGCACUGCCAGGUGCUGAGGGAUGCUUCCCAACAAACACUGGAGAACGCAGAGGAUGCUCCCAGGACGCCAGUGCAGCUGAGUGAAGCCUCCCAGAGGGAGCCACCAUCAGCCUUGGCUGAGCUCGGAGCCAAGUGCCGAGGCCUCAGGCACGAGGAAACGAUCCAGCGCCAGAAAGAAGGUUUGGCCGAGCUCCGGGCGAGAGUGAAGAUGCUGGAGAAGAGACAGUGCUCAGGUGCUGUGAAGAGCGAUUCAGAGCCACUGGUGGUCUGGAUGGAAGACUUACCAGAGAAAAUAGUCCAACAAAGAGGUCUUGAGCUGGAACCUGUUCCUGUGUUGGGAGAAAAACUGAGGGCUGGCAAGGUUCCUGACCAUGUUCCUAAUGGGAGCUCAUUCAGGAUCACCAACAGCACAGUGAGCUUGGAAAUGGCUGAGGCGACAGACAUGGGUGAGAAGAUGUACCUUGAUGUAAUCGGUGCUCUGGGAAACCUGGUGGAGAUGAAGGAGCUGUCAGGAAUGCAGCCUCUGCAGCACCUUCCUCAGGAGAGAAGGGCAGAAGUGGGACUGCAGAGACAGAAGGCCCUGGAGCUGUUGUACAAAAAGAUCAGGAACCUCCAGGUUCGCCUGGAAAGGAAAGAAAAAGUGCUGAAAGAUUACGAGGAAAGUGUGGAGCAGCUCAGGCAGAGCCAAGCUUCCCUGCGAAGGUGCCAGGAGGAGAUGUCCAACCUGGAAGAUGAAGCCCACAGGGGGGCAGAAGAGAAGGCCCUGCUGAGAGAGGCUCUGGAGAGGAUGCAGCUCCAGCUGGACCAGGAGAAGAGGCUGCGGCAAACGGCCAAACGGCACAAGCCUGGAGCCACAAAGACUCUCUGCUCGGGCAAGCCGAAGGCCAGGGGAGGUGCUGCCAGAUUGGGAAGAUCAUGGGAGCAGCACCACAGGGACCUUCACUAGGCAGUGGUCUGCAGUAGGAACAGUCAUUGCUGUGGACUCUGUCAGGGUGGGGGUGGCAUGAGUCUCCGUCGUGUCACAGGGAAACUGGAACAUAAGGCACGAUGCAGUACGGAAUUCUGGAGUUCCUGGAACUCCCCAGGAAUGCUGGACCUGCCACCUGGGAAGGGGGAAGAAGAGGACCUGUGCCAGCCACACUGGUACUGCAGCAGCAUGAGGACGAGCUGGGGAGAUGAGAGCGACAUGCCGGUGGGGUGGGAUGAUGGCACAGGCACUCGCUCACUGAUUCUGAUCGUUAGCAAAGGUGAGAGCAGACCCUGGAUUUUGGGGGGCAGCAGUGUUUUGGGGAGGGGGUCCCUGCAGGCAAUAGGCAGCUCCAGCACAUCAUCCCUGCAGCUGCUCUGCCUCAGCACCACUCGGAGCAGUCCCUGUGCCGAGUCCUCUGCAGACCCUUUCAGCUGAGGAUAAUUUGGAUGUGAGCAAAUCCCCACUGCAGUUUCUUGGUCUUCAUUUUUGAAUAGGAUAAAAAGGGUCUGGAAGCAGAGGGCUGCAGCAGGUUGA